UCCUCGGUAGCUCAAUGGCAGAGCAUCCGGCUGUUAACCGGAGGGUUGCUGGUUCGAGUCCAGCCCGAGGAG
rfam:Acidobacteria bacterium RIFCSPLOWO2_02_FTLL_68_18 rifcsplowo2_02_scaffold_2127, whole genome shotgun sequence.